ACGUUAUCUGGCCUCAAGUAUGACGCAGGGCCAGACACCUGCUGAUGCAACAACCACAUAUGCCCUCAGUCCCCAUGGUGUGGGAGCCUUAGGGCAGCCUGCCUGGAGCACUUUGACUGUCCUGUUUCAUCACCUCCCUCUAUAACUGCCAAUGAGAGAUCUGCUGUCAGUCUUCUUGACCCUCCAUGGACUCAGCUUCUUCAGUCUGAAGAUUUGUGUGUCACCAGGGAUAUAUAAAACAAGCUCAUUCUGCACAGCCAUCCAAAUGGCAAAUAUGAAAAGGAAGUUGUCAAGGAGGGGCAGUGACAUGAGGAAAAGAAUUCCAGAAGUUAGUGAUGGGGAUUUAUACAUUCCCAUAAC